rnacentral:rRNA from 1 species
GAUGAACGCUGGCGGCGUGCCUAAUACAUGCAAGUCGAGCGAAUGGAUUAAGAGCUUGCUCUUAUGAAGUUAGCGGCGGACGGGUGAGUAACACGUGGGUAACCUGCCCAUAAGACUGGGAUAACUCCGGGAAACCGGGGCUAAUACCGGAUAACAUUUUGAACCGCAUGGUUCGAAAUUGAAAGGCGGCUUCGGCUGUCACUUAUGGAUGGAACCGCGUCGCAUUAGCCAGUUGGUGAGGGAACGGCUCACCAAGGCAACGAUGCGUAGCCGACCUGGGAGGGUGAUCGGCCACACUGGGACUGAGACACGGCCCAGACUCCUACGGGAGGCAGCAGUAGGGAAUCUUCCGCAAUGGACGAAAGUCUGACGGAGCAACGCCGCGUGAGUGAUGAAGGCUUUCGGGUCGUAAAACUCUGUUGUUAGGGAAGAACAAGUGCUAGUUGAAUAAGCUGGCACCUUGACGGUACCUAACCAGAAAGCCACGGCUAACUACGUGCCAGCCGCCGCCGUAA